rnacentral:rRNA from 1 species
CGAACCCUUCGGGGUUAGUGGCGCACGGGUGCGUAACGCGUGGGAAUCUACCCAAAGGUACGGAAUAACUCAGGGAAACUUGUGCUAAUACCGUAUAAUGUCUUCGGACCAAAGGUUUAUUGCCUUUGGAUGAGCCCGCGUUGGAUUAGCUUGCUGGUGGGGUAAUGGCCUACCAAGGCGACGAUCUAUAGCUGGUCUGAGAGGAUGAUCAGCCACACUGGGACUGAGACACGGCCCAG